rnacentral:ncRNA from 1 species
GAGAGCCGGAUGAUGCGAAAGUAUCAAGUCCGGUUCGGAGGGGGGCGGAUGGAAAAGGUCCGGGCGACCGGAACCUCGCCAGCCGCCUACCCAAC